rnacentral:lncRNA from 1 species
UGGGAAUUAGGGGAGUUUGAAACUUUGGGGAACAAUUGUAAUUCUUGAUUCUUUGUGGGAUGUGGUUAUUCUUUUGAAUUUGAUUUGGAAGAUAUUAUACAACUCUUUUUUUCUACAUGCUUUUGGAGUAUCAGUAAAAGACUGGGGCAAGAAGAAGGUUAGUGCUGCUUCGUCCCCAUCGGAGAAAAUUCUUUGCACAGUGGCCAACAGUCAUUACAGAGACUCACACUGAUCCAGGUGCGGAGAACAAGUAUCAGUGACGUGCUCACUCAUACAUGGAACAUCUUUGUAAUACACCCUCCCCCCCCCCCCCCAAGACUCAGUUCUCUGGAACAAGAAGAGGCAAAAGGACUGUAAGAGCCAGAGGUUGGAGAAGAUGAGGGUGAAAGUAUGUCCUGGACAUGACAGGCCAUGACCUGCAUAAGAUCCAGCUAGUGGACUUUCCAGCACAGCUGGCACAAGUAUAGGAGCUCCUACCCCUAGCUGAGGAUCGACUGACUACUGAGGAGGGAGAGUCAGUUCUCCUUAGGGCUAUGGUCCCUGGCAGGUUGACUGUGACCCAGUGGAUGGCCCUAUACCCAUGAGUAUAUAGGUAACACUGGACUCAGUGGGUUAUAAGAAAAAAGGGAACAUGGAGUUGAGAAGGAAGAGUGUGUGGGAGUGAGGGGGUAUUUGAGAGGAGUUGGAAUGGGG